AGCAGAUCAGAGCUGGUGGAUCCACUCUGGAGAUGAACUGCUGGCUGUACCCUGCAAGCCAGUACAGGGAGGGCUUCUUUCCUUUCUGCCACACUGCUGUGGAGUUAACAACGGCAGAGUGCAUGGAAUUGCACAGAACAAAGUCUGGAGUAAGAGCGAGAUCAAGCCUGCGUAUGUCUCCCCAGGUUACCAUAACUGAAAUAGGUGUAGCAACCCAUGAAAGCCUUCACUCUGAGAAAUGCACUGUACCAUUUUAUCAUCUGGUACAAUAAGAUGCCAUCAUACAGUGAGAUCAUCCUUCUGAUCCUGUCCAGAACCUGCUUUGGAGAGAUGCCAUUAACACAAGACCUUCUGGCUUCUGUAAACUCAAAUGAAAUAAUCGACGUAAUUUUCUGCUGCAGUAGCUGACUGUCUGAUACUUGGUUUGUAAAUGCUUGGAAGUAUGUAGGCUUUUGUUAUAUACUCCCUAACUACUGAAUAAAGGAGUUACAGAGCAGAUACA
rnacentral:lncRNA from 1 species